rnacentral:rRNA from 1 species
AUUGAACACUGGCGGAAUGCUUUACACAUGCAAGUCGAACGGCAGCACGGGAGCUUGCUCCUGGUGGCGAGUGGCGAACGGGUGAGUAACAUAUCGGAACGUACCCAGUCGUGGGGGAUAACUAUCCGAAAGGAUAGCUAAUACCGCAUACGUCCUGAGGGAGAAAGCGGGGGAUCGCAAGACCUCGCGCGAUUGGAGCGGCCGAUAUCGGAUUAGCUAGUUGGUGGGGUAAAGGCUCACCAAGGCGACGAUCCGUAGCGGGUCUGAGAGGACGACCCGCCACACUGGAACUGAGACACGGUCCAGACUCCUACGGGAGGCAGCAGUGGGGAAUUUUGGACAAUGGGGGCAACCCUGAUCCAGCCAUUCCGCGUGAGUGAAGAAGGCCUUCGGGUUGUAAAGCUCUUUCAGCAGGAACGAAACGGUCGGCUUUAAUAAAGUCGGCUAAUGACGGUACCUGCAGAAGAAGCACCGGCUAACUACGUG